ensembl:lncRNA
UAUAGGACAAGGGCUUUAUUGUAUCUUUAUCAUCAGCAGGGGCAGAUCUACAGAAAUUUCCUAAAUUCUAAAGACCUACACCCACAUUUCGUAAACAAUAAAGUUCUAUACAACUAUUUACCGAAAAAUGCAGGCAAUGCAUCUGAAGUUUUUUUGUAACUCUAUUUAAAACUACUAAAACAAAAAUUAGACAACAAUCAGGUGUCACAGUAAGAUGCCACACAAAUUAUUUGUGCCAGUGCAAAAAAAUAGUUUGUCUGCCAUAAGACAGAGGAGAACACCACAAGCUUAAACCCUGCAGGUCUGACAAGAGGAGGUGCAAACUUACUGUAUUGCUCACUCUGUCAAUGUUAACUAUAGCUAGGCUCAAAGUGUUAAUGCUAGCUUAUUUUAAUAAACAACACUGUCAUAUGCAAAACGUGGGUUCCACUAGGGAUAGCAAGAGAUUAAUUUUAGGUGGGCACAUGCCACCCUUGCAGAUUCAACAUUGAUCACUAGUAAUAUACAUCAGAUUAGAGAGAGAGAAAUGCAGAAAAUAAAAAGCACAAAGCAAAAUAAAUGAAUAAAUAAGAAAUAGAAAUUCUCCUUCUUUCUUCUAUUUCCAAAGCAUGCUUUGUUAUUCCUAAAGGAUUCAGUAUUAUCACACAUUUAGCAUUGUGAUUAUAUUAUUAUAUUAUUUUGGACAUAAUGGACAUAAUUGUCCAUCAUGACAACAUACAAAGAAGGCAUACAUACUUAUUCCAAGUCUGCUUCAACAAGACUCUAUCACCUUUUUUCAUUGACUUUACUUUAACAGUGGUUUGUAAACACAAGGUCAAUAUCCAAAAGGUUUUUGAGUCUUGUUAAAGCAUCAUAUGUUCUUUUGUUUGUUUUUGUGUUAUUCGGGACUUUAAUGAAAGGUAAAGAGAAGAAGUCCAAGCAGCAGAUGGAUCAUUCCCAGUCUGAUAGAACAAGCAUCACUUUUGGUUGUAGAGGCAGUUGUUGCAGUUGAUGUAGCAGUUGUAGCUGCAGAGCUUGUAGUUGAGGCGGUGGUUGUAGUUGUUGUUGGGGUAGUGGUUGUAGUUGUAGUUGGGGUGGUGGUUGUAGUUGUGGUGGUAGUUGUAGUUGGGGUGGUGGUUGUAGUUGUAGGAGUGGUUGUAGUUGGAGUUGGGGUGGUGGUUGUAGUUGUGGCGGUAGUUGUAGAAGGGGUGGUGGUUGUAGUUGUGGCGGUAGUUGUAGUUGGGGUAGUGGUUGUAGUUGUAGUUGGGGUGGUGGUUGUAGUUGUGGCGGUGGUUGUAGUUGUAGUUGGGGUGGUGGUUGUAGUUGUGGCGGUAGUUGUAGUUGGGGUGGUGGUUGUAGUUGUAGUUGUGGCGGUGGUUGUAGUUGGGGUGGUGGUUGUAGUUGUGGCAGUGGUUGUAGUUGUAGUUGGGGUGGUGGUUGUAGUUGUAGAUGGGGUGGUGGUUGUAGUUGUGGCGGUAGUUGUAGUUGGGGUGGUGCUUGUAGUUGAGGCGGUGGUUGUAGUUGUUGUUGGGGUAGUGGUUGUAGUUGUAGUUGGGGUGGUGGUUGUAGUUGUGGUGGUAGUUGUAGUUGGGGUGGUGGUUGUAGUUGUAGGAGUGGUUGUAGUUGUAGUUGGGGUGGUGGUUGUAGUUGUGGCGGUAGUUGUAGUUGGGGUGGUGGUUGUAGUUGUAGUUGGGGUGGUGGUUGUAGUUGUGGCGGUGGUUGUAGUUGUAGUUGGGGUGGUGGUUGUAGUUGUGGCGGUAGUUGUAGUUGGGGUGGUGGUUGUAGUUGUAGUUGUGGCGGUGGUUGUAGUUGGGGUGGUGGCUGUAGUUGUAGUUGUGGCGGUGGUUGUAGUUGGGGUGGUGGUUGUAGUUGUGGCAGUGGUUGUAGUUGUAGUUGGGGUGGUGGUUGUAGUUGUAGUUGGGGUGGUGGUUGUAGUUGUGGCGGUAGUUGUAGUUGGGGUGGUGGUUGUAGUUGUAGUUGGGGUGGUGGUUGUAGUUGUAGUUGGGGUGGUGGUUGUAGUUGUAGUUGGGGUGGUGGUUGUAGUUGUAGUUGGGGUGGUGGUUGUAGUUGUAGUUGGGGUGGUGGUUGUAGUUGUGGCAGUGGUUGUAGUUGUAGUUGGGGUGGUGGUUGUAGUUGUAGUUGGGGUGGUGGUUGUAGUUGUAGUUGGGGUGGUGGUUGUAGUUGUAGUUGGGGUGGUGGUUGUAGUUGUGGCAGUGGUUGUAGUUGUAGUUGGGGUGGUGGUUGUAGUUGUAGUUGGGGUGGUGGUUGUAGUUGUAGUUGGGGUGGUGGUGGUUGUUGUAGUUGUAGUUGGGGCAGCAGUUGUAGUUGGUGCUGCAGAACAGGCAACACCUGAUACUGUACCAACGCUCUGCAUGAAAGGUAGAGAACCCAGGCUUAAAGCAGCUGCACACAGGUUUGCAGAUGCGCAGCCGUAACCUGGAUACGUGCUGGUGCCGCUA